rnacentral:rRNA from 1 species
GACGAACGCUGGCGGUGUGCUUAACACAUGCAAGUCGAACGGUAAGGCCCUUUCGGGGGUACACGAGUGGCGAACGGGUGAGUAACACGUGAGUAACCUGCCCUCAUCUCUGGGAUAACAGUCGGAAACGGUUGCUAAUACUGGAUAUGAGCUUGCAAGGCAUCUUGUGGGUUGGAAAGAUUUUUUUUGGUUGGGGAUGGACUCGCGGCCUAUCAGCUUGUUGGUGAGGUAGUGGCUCACCAAGGCUUCGACGGGUAGCCGGCCUGAGAGGGCGACCGGCCACAUUGGGACUGAGAUACGGCCCAAACUCCUACGGGAGGCGGCAGUGGGGAAUAUUGCACAAUGGACGGAAGUCUGAUGCAGCAACGCCGCGUGCGGGAUGACGGCCUUCGGGUUGUAAACCGCUUUCAAUUGUGACGAAGCUUUUUUGUGACGGUAGCAGUAGAAGAAGCACCGGCUAACUACGUG